AGUUAAGUGAAUAAGAGCGCACGGUGAAUGCCUUGGCACUAGGAGCCGAUGAA
rnacentral:rRNA from 1 species